rnacentral:lncRNA from 1 species
CAGAAGAUGGCUUCUGCCCAGCCAGUGUUCAGUAGAAGACAAUAGGAUGGUGGGAAGGAGGGAACAUCUCUCCUGACCGUGAGAGCAAAGGAUACCCAGCACCCACUAUAUACCAGCUGCGCUCAAACAAACGUUUUCAUCUUGAUGUUUUCCACUACAGCUGUCCCCAGGUAAAUAAUUAACUAUAUAAUUAUGCCUUUCUUAGGUUUGCCUUUGGCCUUUAGCAUUCUUACUGAGGAAGUGCUCUGGCUCCCAUGGUCUCCUGGUCUACUCCUAUGUGUGUGAGUAGAGGUACGAUGGAGAUGCUCCAAGCAGCUGUCCUCCACCCCUGCUGGCUAGCUGGAUGUUUACACACCUUGAAAUGAAUGAGCAUCAGAUUCUGCUACAGCUGGUCCAGAACCGUGCAGCCAACAUAUUUACAUCACGAAGUGGGAGGAACUGGUUGGCAGCCCUACAGCCCUGCUGAUCCCCUUCUGCAGCAGGGAUACUUUUCCAUUUUGUCUCUGCUGGGUGUCUCAGCCGCAGGGGCUGGGGCUGCAGCAGGCCAGAGCGAGCCCACGCCUGCCAAGCUGGGCCCUGCAGUUGCUGGGUUACAAACCGAGGUGCUCUGGCUUUUCUGUACGUGGUGGGAAUAAAACAGAGCAGAAAGCCAGUUUCAGACUAGUGUCCUGCAAAGCAAAAAUGUCCUUAUGCAGUUUGGACUUCCUGUGGAAAUGCAGCUUUGAUGCCAGUGUCUCCUAAAGCCCAGAGACAGGAACCAGAGACACCAACCUCAGCCACUGUCCCUGCAGAAGCACAGCUCUCCAGGCUGCAAGCCCCAGAUGACCAAAGCAGUUGCUGUUAUGUUUGAGUUUCUGCUUCUCUUAGAGUUGAAGCAUUUUUUCCUGAACUGUAAACCUUGUCUGAUCUGGAAAGGAAGGAAAAAGGACCUAGUUCUAGCUCCUGCAUAAUGAGCUAUUUCCUUUGUUGGCCUCCAUUUAAAAAAAAAAAAAAAAAAAAAUUACCUGCCGUUUUGUGCUUGGGGUUUGUUUGGGGUUCUGAAUCAGGAGACAUGGUAGUUCUUGCUUUGUGGUCAUACAGGAAAAGAGUAACUGCUGUAGCAAAGCAGAUUUGUGCACCAUUUAACUUUUCUUUUCCCUGACAGUGAAAAAAUUAAAUGAUGUUUAAAGGCAUACGUAGCACUCAAAGGCACACAGUACGUAAUCUUCAUUCCCACAGAGGCACGGGCACUGAGACUUAAUGAUCCACACCUUAAGAGCUUGUAGCUGAUGGGUGGAUGCAAAUAAUGUAGACUGAAAAGAGGAGAACUGAAUUAUUCCAACCCAGUUCCUGUAGUCAUCACUAAAUAUAGAGCUUGUACUGAUGCAGCAUUUCUGGGGUGGUUAUGAAAUGUCUGGCAUGCUCUGAUGUUUAACAAUCUUUACAUAUUUAUAUUAAUAGUUGCUGUAGCUGAGAUUUAGCAGAAAAAAGGUGAGAGCAGAGGAAGCAUACUGCAGUGCUGUCAGGCAGCGAGGCACUAGCCAGCUGCCUUGCUACACAUCAUGAGCCUGGAUCUUGAGGCUUGCCACUAAUAAACCACCUGUUUUGAUAAUGCUUUCUUCCUAC